rnacentral:lncRNA from 1 species
UUUUUAAGCCUUUUUUUUUUUAGGACUGCAAGUAACUGUUUAAUAUGGAAUCGUUUCAUUCCAUAUUAAUUUUGCUGUAGAAAAUGUUACCCAACAUAUUUUAUUUAAUAUUAAAUCUAUAAAUACUUAGAUGAAAUGAUCAAUUUAUUAGAAAAAUAAUAAAUGGAAAUUAAUUUUAUUCAAUAUAAUAAUUACUGUGAUAGAUAUAUUCUCAAAGGUCAGAAUCUGUGUGAUAUUUUUUCAUUAUUAACUAGCAAGUACAAUUUAAACUAUAGGCCAACUUAAUUUAUAGUUUUAUUUGAAAGGUGUGACACUCUUGGAUGUCCCAAGUCUAGUAAAUAUAAAUUAACCUUUUAACCACAAAAUCAUACACCCAUUCUCUUAAAAUUAAAAUAAUUUGUCUUGUCAGCUAUUGUUUUAUCCAAAUAAUUUACGUACUGUUUCAUCCACAGUUUAAUGAUGGAUCUGACACAUCAUGUCCAUUUAAAACUUUGAGAAUAGGUUUAAUAAAAGCGCUAUAAAGCUUUCUAAAGCAAUUGAUUUCAAAUAGAUUUCUGGUGAUCGUGUAGGUUCAGAAGCCCCUUACUUACACGCUAAUUAAAAUAUCUCAAGUUCCUUUCUGUUGCGUGGUUGUCCAAACAGCGUUGAGAUGGUUUAAUACUAUAUAUUAGGACAGAGUUGUAAUAUGAGGAUUCUUUGCUCCAGAAAACAGGUUUUUGUUAGUUGUGGCUGCCACAUUAAAAAUCAGCGUUGAUGUUAAAUUUUUGAGACAGUUUCACAUUUAGAGCCGCGAUUUGUGCAGAUAACAACUGAAUUUGACACGAGACAAUGACAGCAAGUACCAGUAUCAAGAUGUGGAUGGUAGAGAGGAUGGUGCAGUUUUUGGUGAUGUAUUUAAGAACAACGAAAUUACUUGGGGCUGUUUUAUUGGAAGAUCUAACUGCUAAUACCGAGGUAUACUGAAAAUAUCAGUUUUAGGAAUCUUUACAAGAGAUCUUCUUACAGGGUGCUCUUUCCCCAAUGGUGAGGGGAAGUUGACAAUAUCACUUUUGUAUAGUGUAUCUAUAUAGUACUCAAAAGUUCUUGCUUUUAUUUAGAUAGAAAGCCAUGCUCUGGCGUAGAACUGGGUAGAACUUGUAUAGAAUCAAUUUAAAAGGAAAUCAUAUUUGAUAAAAUGGGCCUAACAUCGGUAGAAAAUUGAGAAAAGCAUGAAAUCUGGACGUUCGCAGGUCAAAGGAAGAUCAUGGUCUGAAAAGACGGACUUGUGGAAAAUUAAGCCUAAGGGGAACAUGGAUUUAAAAAACCUUUUUAAUCCAUUUUUCUAUUGGGAAAGACAUAUGUUAUGUUUGAAUCCUUGCUUUAGAAAUCAAGUAACUUAGGGGAAUUUGUUUAAGACUGUAUUAGCAGCAGUUCUCAAUAUAACAUACAGACACUUGUGUUUAAGAUUCUGGUUUUUCUUAUUCACUGUGAUUUAGAGUUUAGGGAGAAGGACUACUUGUUAACUAACUACAGUAAAGUUAUAGAAAAUUGAGACACUUCUUCUUUUCUGGACUGGCUUUUGUAUCCAGAUAUAGCAUUCCCACUUGAUCACUGGUUUUCUUUUGAUGUAAUUAUUUUCCAGUUCCUUAUCCACAUAGAAUACAACAUUUCAUGAGUCUUAGGUCAUCCUAUUGCAAAUUCUUAGGAUAGUUAGUUGUCAUGAUAAUUUUCGAUUUCAAAUCCAGUCAUUUGGUGUAUGGUCCUGCUUCCAUAUUUUAUACAUGAGACCCUCCCAACACAGAGAAUCUAAAUAACUUCCCAGGACAUGCAGAUAGUACUUGGAACCCAUUUUCCAAGUCUGCUGGAUUUUUUUUUUUCUAACCACAUCCCACUAAAACUUCAAUAUUGAAGUUUUUCUUAUAAUUUUACUCUUCCUUGUAUGUGACAAUAAUUAUUAUUUUCACAUCAGUGAAUCAUCUGAUUUAACCUGUUUUCAAGCUCAAACAUUGUAUACACAGAUGUGAUUGCAAACAGAUUCUAAAGGCCUAUAGUAUGCUUAUACUUAGGUACUUCUCAAAAUUGAGGAAGAUUUUAUAGGGCAAAUUAAUAUUGACGUAGAAACAAACCAAAAUUGUAAUUAAAGGAACAGUUUGAUCUUUUGCUCAAGUUGAAGUUAUUUCAGUUAAACAAGGAAAAUUUUAAUCUCAAUCAAAUCAACUCAAUUUAAUAAGCUUCCAGAUGAAAAUAUUGGCUGAAAGACUGGAAUGACAAGUAUUUGUCAUGUAGUAUAUUCGAUGGAAAAUCAAAAAUAAGAUUAGCAAAGAACACUGACUCCAUGAUUUUCACACAUCAAGGAACAGAAAUCAAAUCACAUUUUUAAUAUACAAAUUAAAAUUGUAUUUACCCUCUUUUACUUCAGCUUUUAAAUAUUUAAAGCUGUCUUGAAUAAAGAAAGACAGAAGGACUCCUGGAUUAGAACAGAGUCAAAUAAAAUCCUCAGUUUUACUAAACCCAGGUCCACUGUUGUUGUGCUAUUAUGAAAACUGCAUUGAUGGUCAGCCACUGACACACCUGGGUUACCUGCCAUGCGAACCAUCUUGGAGCCUGAGAGGGUGAUUUCUCACCGUGCAGUCGCCCAACUUAUCAAUCAAGAAAGUAGUCUUGUAUUUAAAAGAUGGCUACUCCCACCUCAUUCACAGCAGUGAGCGUUCCCCUGAAAAACAGUGUAAGUCAUUAUUGUGGUUUUAAAAUUCACCAAGCUAGAAACAUACAUUUUGAGCAUUUUUCCCCCACUGAAAGAUUUUCCUUUUUUUACUAACCAUAAACAGUAACUUGAAAUGAUUAUGCCCAUUAUCUUCCUUAUUUUGUUUUUUCAAAAACAACAUAGAGAUACUACUCUUAGAAAGAUAAAGAGAUGAAAUGGGGAGGGAGGAGAAGGAGCAAGGGAAAGAGGAGGGGAGAUGAGAAGAGAGAGAGGAGGAGAUUUUCUCCUGAUCUAUUUUGGUGCUUAAUUCAAGGUCAUAAAUAGUGUGGCCAAAUUCCCUCUGAGAAGCCAUACCUAACAUAAGCAACAUUUUAUCCAAGGAAAGAUGUUUUAUGGAUUCGCACAAUUUGGUCAAGAACAGAAGGCUUUAAAAUUUGUAAAGGAUAGAUUUUAAUCCUCAAACCAGCUAAUUAAGCUUCUUCUGUACAACAUACAGUUUUAAGUUAACAGUAAUUAAUAUAGCCAGCUUGGAACCUCAGGAAGCUAAAGCCAGCAAGUGCUUUUUGGUUCACUCGAGAGGAUGCGAUUUGAUUGCUGGCGCCAGUAAACAGGUUGGGAAUUGUCAACAUUAUAAUUAGCAGCAAGUUUCUGGAUUCUCAGCCUGCCAGACUAGUGGGCUGAUGCUUGGAGCAGUUGCCCCAGGGGGGAGAGAGAAAAACAAAGGAAGGGAAUUUGAGCAACCUUGCAAUGCUCUGCCAGCAUAUGCCACUGGACCAAUGUUUUUCUUGGCAAAGGUCUAUUUUAAGACAUCUAGCAGUGGUUUCCAUAAAAUAUGAAACUCACCAUAGCAACUAAAAUGGCAAGUAGCUCUAGGAACCCUUCCUUGCUUGGCUAUCAGGUCCAACUGUAUUCAGAGCUAUAUUGCAUUUGGGCAGAAUGGACUCUGCAUAAUACUGCUACUAACAGCAUGAUUAAAGGGGUUAAAAUCUGUUUUGGCAGCAGUCCUGUAAUACUCUGCUGUAAAGCCGUCAAAGAAUAAGGUUAUGCAAACCUUAUUAACCCUUCGUGUAGUACAAACAGAAGGAAAUAGCGACCUUAAAACCACCAAGAAUUCAAUCCUCAGUACGUAAAUGAUAAUUUACAUGGAGUUUUCUUAGUUCAAAGCCAUGCGGUUGGUGUGGAAAAAGGUUGUCGUAGAUUUCAAUAUCCAAACAGUAUCUGUGGGGCCUCUAAGACUAAGGGCUACAUUAAUAUAGUUUAUGGGUUAUUUAUAACCCAAAUGACAAAGAUUAGGUUAGCUUUUAGAACCUACUAGAUAAAAAGUUCAUGUGUGUGUAUGUGUGUGUGUGUGUGUGUGUGAAAAAUUUUACAGAUCUUAUAGAAGAAUAGAUUUGAAACAAAUAACUGACAUAAGUGGCUAGAGGAUAAGUGCUAAAUCCACCUACCUUGUGGCCAAAGCAUAAUAACAAACACUUUUUCUUUAAAGCAGUUCUGCCGUAUAUUAAUUUUACCUCCCAGUUGAAAAAGGUCAAGGUUGCUGAGCAUUGCUAAAACACACAUAUUAAUUUCUCCCGAAUAAAUGCUUGGAAUCAUUAUCAAGGAUAUUCUUACUGUCAUUUUCUGUCUUUGCCAAAACAUGAGGAGGCUUCAAAAAGAUAAACAGGAUGUAGAGAGACAAACAAAAUAGCUUUCUAUACUGUAAGAAAAAAAAAAAAGUCUCAAAUGGAUCCAUGUGCUAUAUUAAGCAAUUGCCAAGUGGCAGUUUCUGCAGGUGGAUUAUCAAAAGUGCCCAAGAAAUGGCUGUGCAGCUCUGGCACCCAGGUGUCUGGUUGCGUUUAACGGACUCUUUUGUGGGGAGAAGGAUUACUCAUUUGUUGGAGAGAGAGCACUGUCCUUUAAUCUCCACGACAGAAUCCACGUUGGAGUAAACCAGCAACGCAGUUCUUAUCCACUCCCCUCCAGACUCGGAGGAAUUCUCUGCACUUAUUUAUAAUUUUCAGUGGAAUUAGAUGCCUACAGGUGGCCCCAUAAUGUGCCUCCAGGCAUACAACCUGCUGUAAAUUUUUAAGUUACAUUAACUUAGCAGUAUGUUGUCUUAUAACAACAGUUCAUUCAGUUUACGAGAGAAGGAGACGGAAGCAGAAAGGCAGUCUCUCGGGUUAAGCAUCAUUACCAUUCUUUGCUACCCUGUUCCUCUUUGAAGGUGGGAAAGGACCUUGGCCAGAAGUGGCGCUGCUGGCGUGUGGGCGCUGUGCCUCCUUAUAAAGUCAGAUGGGGUGUCACAGUUAGCAAGCCUCAGUCUGGCGUCUAGGGAUGGGUGUACUGGGUGUCAGUAUGAAAAACAGAGGCAAAGCAGUAAGACCUUUUCUUUCGUUUCUUCUUCUUCUUUUUUUUUUUUAUUUUAAGCCUAUAAAUGACUUCUCUAAAGUAUUUUGUUUCCAGUGGGUUUUCGUAUUCUGUUGGAAAAAAAUUAGUGCAUCUUUAUCAAGAUGUGACUGCAGUUUCUCCUCUACCGCACAUUCCGUAUGCUCUAAUUGUUUUUUCUGGGCUUUUAGGUUACCAAUCCGUGAGAAAAGGACAGGACUCCUUCAUAACUUUUCUGUCAUUGGGCUUCAGGCUCAUCCAGUCUUUGUGAUGAUGUAACUGUCAGUCACUGUAUGCAGUUAAAUCUCCCAGCAUGUGUUGGGGUACAAUUCUCAUAACUGAUGAAAAAACAAAGAUAGUAUCUGAGUUAAUAUACUUUAAAAGCAGAAAUUAGAUUCACAUUUCAGGGGCAAUACACAGAUCUGGUUAACCUUAGAAGUCCUAGUUCCAGGGUAUAAAGCUCUUUCUCACAACCUCAAACAGAACCAAAUCUGGCUUCCAUUCUAGUCUCAUUAAACGUGUAGCUUAGGAGUUCCUGCUGUGGCUCAGAGAGUUAAGAACAGGACUAGUAUCCAUGAGGAUGCAAGUUGAUCCCGACGUCGCUCAGUGGGUUAAGCAUCUGUCAUUGCGAGCUGUGGUGUAGACCAGCAGCUGCAGCUCUAAUUUGACCCCUAGCCUGGGAACUUCCGUAUGCCAUGGGUACAGCCCUAAAAAAACAGACGACAACUACCACCACCACAACAAAACAAAAAACCUGUAGCUUAUACCACAAGUAACAAUGAUAAUGUGUAUAUUUUUGAAUAUAUGUUUUACUUGUACAGAUUAUUAAAAAACAAGAAAACUUUAAAAAUGUAGCAACAGGUUUUUAUUGUCAGGCCUGUAGUAUAGACACGGGCAAAAUUAGUAAACUGAAGACCCAUUUGAUACUUAUCAAGUUAUCUGCCUUAAUGCAAGGAUAUUUAGAUCAUCUCAUAUUUCAUUUUACAACAUCUGAUGAGCAUGCGGUGAUCGAUUGAGCAGCUUGUAUAUUCAAAAGAGCUAGGACGCCUUUCAGAAUAAAUCGCUAAAUAUCUAUUAUGCGUGUACUAUACACAAGACAUAUAUUCAACUCCAUCAAUAUUUACUAAACACCUACUAUGUUCCUGGCAUUCUUCUAAAUAUUGGGGUGACCUUGUCCUUAAUUAUUCAUGCCCUCUAGGACAUCUCACAGUCCAGGCUUUUAUCAGCUCUGAGGGGGAUUCAAAAGAAUGUAAAGCACAUCUUCCUUUCAGGAAGUUUAUUAGGUUGUGGAUAAUAUGACAAAUAUAAAAUUGUGUGUAAAAGUGAAAGUUGCUACAAGCCAUGACGCUAUCUCUAGUCAACAGAAGACACACAUCACAGACAGAGUAAUAAUAAAAGUCUUUCCUAAAAAUGUACUUAUUAUUUUUUCCUUAGAUUUUAGAUAAUCUUUCAGACCUGAAGAGACCAAGGAAGCAUCUGAUUAGAAAAAAAUAUGAGUUCCCGUCAUGGCGCAGUGGUUAACAAAUCUGACUAGGAACCAUGAGGUUGCGGGUUCGAUCCCUGGCCUUGUUCAGUGGGUUGAGGAUCCGGCGUUGCCGUGAGCUGUGGUGUAGGUUGCAGAUGUGGCUCGGAUCCUGUGUUGCUGUGGCUGUGGUGUAGGCCAGCGGCUACAGCUCCGACUAGACCCUAGCCUGGGAACCUCCAUAUGCUGUGGGAGCAGC